AGAGACACAUAAUUGUGACAAACCAAAUAGAAAAUUUUUUACAAAGUGACACUGUCGUGAUUUCAGUGCAGUUCAGUGCAGAUUUCAUGCAGUGGUCAGGAAUUUAUGAUUUGCGACUUUUCAGUUUUUCGCAUAUUUUGGCGCAACCACGCUUAUUUAGGUGCAAUUCUACACCAGUCCUGACAUGCCUUAGAAAUUGGCUGUGGACAGCAUUAUUAAAAAGUCGCACAUUUUGUUGCAGGGGUUAAAAGUUGCAAACAAGUCGCAGAGAAAUUUGAUUGAUGGACUGCGCCAUGUAAUUAAUUUGGUGCAGGUAAACAGUUUUCAACACAUGAAUUAAGGGAGUGAAACGUCGUGCACCUCCUCCACUUUUCAUGAAUAUCCCCCCUUGGUCACUAGGUGUAUCACUUCUCUACAAUCUUCUGUUUACUGUCUGGUGUUAAGGCUAGUAACAUGCAGACCAAGACAAAUUACAGAAAGGGACUGGGGUGGGACUUAGCAUGAGUUCUGUGCAGGAAUGAGGGGAAAAACCUGAUGAAUCCUAAACUGUGCCAAUCUGUCUGCUAAAGAGGAUUCAGACUAUUCCUCAAAGACAAAGAUCGCUCCAGUCCAGUAGUAUGAUCCUGGUGCCCCCAUGAUGAUCAUAUCCUGCAAACAACGGAUAGAAACAUAUUUUAGGAUGACAAAUCUCAGUCGAAAUAGGAAAACUCAAGGAAACUGCAUAAGUGUAAACUGCUACCAAUCCACUUAUGAGUCUAAUGAGUUUACCCCGGUGAUCUCCAGCAUAGCAGCCUGAUGAGAUGACCAGUUAAAAUCAUCAAACACCCUACUCAAAGCCAGAGGAUUCAUGGAAAAUAUUGGCUGCAUUACAGAACCCACAUUAUUAUGCAUUUGUAAAAAAAAAAAUGGAGCCUAUCCCAUGCUUGCCACAAUAGCAAAAAAAGACCUUGCCAGAAUAUUAUAAAGCCACUUGUAGAAUUUACCUCUGUAGCAUGGACAUAUUUUUCUUUUUAAGUCUGUGCGCAAAUUUGCAGACAUGUAACCCAAAAUGUGGGCUGAAUAAUCAAUCCAAACGGCUGCCAUGAUAUGUACACCGUGUUCCUUCUCUGUAGGGCUGUGUGUUCCUCGGGGGAUCCCCAGGAGGAGUAUGGUAUUGUGCACUGUGAAUUCAUUUGUGAAAGCUGGUGACUGGAACCAUCCCUCUUUUCUUUGUGGACUUAUGCCUAUAAUUUUAUCAAAAGUAGGAAUACAACUCAGUACCAGGAAAAUAUGUUAACGUCAGCUACGGGGAGAACAAACCAGCCAUGACUGCUCCCCCAGAGCCAUCCAGAAAACACAGUGUAGUUUGUCAAUGGAGAUAUGGGGUUGGACACAGACAGGCCUAGUCAGAUGACUGGACAGUGAAAGAAUUGUUUUAGUGUCAUGACUCCAUAACAUUUGUAUGUACAACUUCAGUCCAUCUGGGCCUUUGCACAAGUCAGUGAUAUCCUGGGUUACAGGAUAUGUGAAGAGAAGAGGAGUCACGCUCGCUGUUGACAAUAAACGUAACAUCCCAUUACUUUUACUCUGUUAAUGGCAUAAUGUGCUUUCAUUGGUAAUAGUCAGCCAUUUAACAAGCCUUUUACAAUUGUGCAAGAUAGUGUCAAACUUACUGGCAGACAAAGCCAAAAGACUGUCUGUACUAGAUGACCAUCAGCUCACAGCUACAUGACGGGUUUGUUUGCUUGCAGUUAAUAUGUCACUUUGGAGCAUUGCUUUAUGCAGCCAAUAUUUUUAGCGUUUUAUGUUUUACCUUGUAUUCUACAUGUGUUAGGUGACUUAAAGGGGUACUCCGGUUAAA